GGUCGCUUAGGCUAACGGAAAGACCUUUUGGCUACGAACCAAAAAAUGUGAGUUCGAUUCUCGCAGCGAUCGCCA
rnacentral:tRNA from 1 species